rnacentral:rRNA from 1 species
UGUGCCAGCCGCCGCGGUAAUACGGAGGAUCCGAGCGUUAUCCGGAUUUAUUGGGUUUAAAGGGUGCGCAGGCGGGUUGCUAAGUCGGUGGUGAAAUCCCGGGGCUCAACCCCUGGCUUGCCAUCGAAACUGGUUACCUUGAGUAUGGGUGAGGCAGGCGGAAUUCGUGGUGUAGCGGUGAAAUGCAUAGAUAUCACGAGGAACCCCGAUCGCGUAGGCAGCUUGCCAUUCCAUCACUGACGCUCAUGCACGAAGGCGUGGGGAUCAAACAGGAUUAGAUACCCUGGUAGUCCGCACAGUAAACUAUGGAUACUCUCUGCCGGCGAUACAUUGUCGGUGGCCAAGCGAAAGCGUUAAGUAUCCCACCUGGGGAGUACGUUCGCAAGAAUGAAACUCAAAGGAAUUGACGGGGGCCCGCACAAGCGGAGGAACAUGUGGUUUAAUUCGAUGAUACGCGAGGAACCUUACCCGGGUUUGAAUUGCUGAUGGCGGUAUUUGGAGACAGAUACUUCCCUUCGGGGCGUCAGUGAAGGUGCUGCAUGGUUGUCGUCAGCUCGUGCCGUGAGGUGUCGGCUUAAGUGCCAUAACGAGCGCAACCCUUGCCGUUAGUUGCCAUCGGGUCAUGCCGGGCACUCUAUUGGGACUGCCAUCGUAAGAUGUGAGGAAGGUGGGGAUGACGUCAAAUCAGCACGGCCCUUAUGUCCGGGGCGACACACGUGUUACAAUGGGGGGUACAGUGGGAAGCUACCUGGCGACAGGUUGCGGAUCCCCAAAUCCUUUCUCAGUUCGGAUCGGAGUCUGUAACUCGACUCCGUGAAGUUGGAUUCGCUAGUAAUCGCGCAUCAGCCAUGGCGCGGUGAAUACGUUCCCGGGCCUUGUACACACCGCCCGUCAAGCCAUGAAAGCUGGGGGCGCCUGAAGUCCGUAACCGCGAGGAUCGGCCUAGGGUGAACCUGGUGAUUGGGGCUAAGUCGUAACAAGGUAACCA